rnacentral:rRNA from 1 species
UUCGCAAUGCCCGAAAGGGUGACGAAGCGACGCCGCGUGAGUGAGGAAGGCCUUCGGGUUGUAAAGCUCUGUCAGGAGUUAAGAAAUGUAAGUGUGCUAAUACCGCAUUUAUUUGACGGAGGCUCCAAAGGAAGCCACGGCUAACUCUGUGCCAGCAGCCGCGGUAAUACAGAGGUGGCAAGCGUUGUUCGGAAUUAUUGGGCGUAAAGAGCACGUAGGUGGGUUUGUAAGUCAGAUGUGAAAGCCUUCUGUUCAACGGAAGAAUUGCAUCUGAAACUGCGAGUCUUGAGUAUAGGAGGGGAGAAUGGAACUUCUGGUGGAGCGGUGAAAUGCGUAGAUAUCAGAAGGAACGCCGGCGGCGAAAGCGAUUCUCUGGCCUAUUACUGACACUCAGUGUGCGAAAGCUAGGGGAGCAAACGGGAUUAGAUACCCCGGUAGUCCUAGCCGUAAACGAUGGGCACUAAGUAGAGGGGUUUU